rnacentral:rRNA from 1 species
AGCAGCCGCGGUAAUUCCAGCUCCAAUAGCGUAUAUUAAAGUUGUUGCAGUUAAAAAGCUCGUAGUUGAAUUUUAGGCCUGGCCGGGCGGUCCGUCUUUGGCGAGUACUGUUCUGUGUCGGGUCCACCUUCUGGUGAACCAGUAUGUCCUUUAUUGGGUGUGCCGGGGAGCCAGGACCAUUACCUUGAAAAAAAUUAGAGUGUUUAAAGCAGGCAUUUGCUUGAAUAGAUUAGCAUGGAAUAAUAGAAUAGGACGUUGUGGUUCUAUUUUGUUGGUUUCUAGGACCACCGUAAUGAUUAAUAGGGAUAGUUGGGGGCAUUAGUAUUCAAUUGUCAGAGGUGAAAUUCUUGGAUUUAUUGAAGACUAACUAUUGCGAAAAGCAUUUGCCAAGGAUGUUUUCAUUAAUCAAGAACGAAAGUUAGGGGAUCGAAGACGAUCAGAUACCGUCGUAGUCUUAACCAUAAACUAUAGCCGACUAGGAAUCGGGCGAUGUUGACAAAAAUGACGCGCUCGGCACCUCAUGGG